rnacentral:lncRNA from 1 species
UAUCACCAUGUGUUGUGUUUUGAGAGAAGCAAAGAACAUGACUUUAGUUGUAAAUUUGUUGAUGCUCAGUGGGAGAAAAUCCUUCAAAUGUUGAACAAGUUUUUUUUACAUCUUUGAAGAUGUGUCUUCAGUGGGGCAAUAAUUUUUUCAGAAAGAAAAGAAAAAAAAGGUGCAAAAGAGUCGUGCUUAGGUUAAUGAGUCCGAACUGACAAAAAAGUCUAAGGUUAACCUAAUUUGACAGAGUUUCCUGAUCCGAA